UGGGGAAUAUUGGACAAUGGGCGAAAGCCUGAUCCAGCAAUGCCGCGUGAGUGAUGAAGGCCUUAGGGUUGUAAAGCUCUUUUACCAGGGAUGAUAAUGACAGUACCUGGAGAAUAAGCUCCGGCUAACUCCGUGCCAGCAGCCGCGGUAAUACGGAGGGGGCUAGCGUUGUUCGGAAUUACUGGGCGUAAAGCGCGCGUAGGCGGCUUUGCAAGUCAGAGGUGAAAGCCCGGGGCUCAACCCCGGAAUUGCCUUUGAGACUGCAUCGCUAGAACGUCGGAGAGGUAAGUGGAAUUCCGAGUGUAGAGGUGAAAUUCGUAGAUAUUCGGAAGAACACCAGUGGCGAAGGCGACUUACUGGACGACUGUUGACGCUGAGGUGCGAAAGCGUGGGGAGCAAACA
rnacentral:rRNA from 1 species